rnacentral:rRNA from 1 species
UAGCAAUACUUAGUGGCAGACGGGUGAGUAACAUGUGGGUAUCUGCCCUUUGGCCUGGAAUAACACGAGGAAACUUGUGCUAAUACCGGAUAAGUCUUUACGGAGAAAGCUUUAUGCACCAUUGGAUGAGCCCGCACUUGAUUAGUUUGUUGGUGGGGUAACGGCCUACCAAGACUGUGAUCAAUAGCUGAUUUGAGAGGAUGAUCAGCCACAUUGGGACUGAGACACGGCCCAAACUCCUACGGGAGGCAGCAGUGGGGAAUCUUGCACAAUGGAGGAAACUCUGAUGCAGCGAUGCCGCGUGAGUGAAGAAGGCCCUUGGGUUGUAAAGCUCUUUCGUCGGGGAAGAAAAUGACUGUACCCGAAUAAGAAGGUCCGGCUAACUUCGUGCCAGCAGCCGCGGUAAUACGAAGGGACCUAGCGUAGUUCGGAAUUACUGGGCUUAAAGAGUUCGUAGGUGGUUGAAAAAGUUAGUGGUGAAAUCCCAGAGCUUAACUCUGGAACUGCCAUUAAAACUUUUCAGCUAGAGUAUGAUAGAGGAAAGCAGAAUUUCUAGUGUAGAGGUGAAAUUCGUAGAUAUUAGAAAGAAUACCAAUUGCGAAGGCAGCUUUCUGGAUCAUUACUGACACUGAGGAACGAAAGCAUGGGUAGCGAAGAGGAUUAGAUACCCUCGUAGUCCAUGCCGUAAACGAUGUGUGUUAGACGUUGGAAAUUUAUUUUCAGUGUCGCAGCGAAAGCGAUAAACACACCGCCUGGGGAGUACGACCGCAAGGUUAAAACUUAAAGGAAUUGACGG